UCCUGACAUUGGCCAACAUGGAGCGAUGUCUGCCUUUAUCUGGAGUAUGUCGGGGAGAACAUGAGUGCAGUCUCGCACCGGGACAAGUUCCACAGUAGAGUUUCCCACAUCGGGGAAAUCGCAGGGACCAGCAAGUCUGGAGUGUGAGGGAGAAGACUAGUACUGGGAGAACCAUCUUCUUGACGAUGACAUUCUUUCUGCCAAGGUUCUCACAACCAAUUGAAAGAGAAUAAAACAUUCUCUUGCUUCAUAACCAAAGUGCUGCUCACACUUCCAGCAACCUUUGGAAGGGGAAUCCUGGCUAUUGAUGUCCCUGGAAAGAGAGUGGUAGAAGAAAAGAAAUUGAAGACAUGGAAGAAAGAUGAAAACGCUGGCUACUAAAUACCUAUGUGUGGUUACUGAGUGUGGUAUACUUGGACACCGAGCUCCCCCACCCAUCAGAUGUCACAAAGAGUCCUUUUACUCUUGGAUAAUUUCAAAUCAAACUGACCUCCCCAGACACCAGAGCCAGAAACAGGAAAAGGCUACAAUUAACUAACUGAAGCACAAUGUGAAGUUAAUCAAUAAUGGAACGAUUAUGACGAAGAUGCCAUACAUUAACUCUACCUAGACAUGAGUGCUGCUUUCAGAGCAUGAACAUUCUUUCAAAUUCCAGAUACCACUUUUUCCCUUCAUGAAUGUUUCUGCAAAAGAAUGAAAGCAAAAUACUGAAGCAAAUAUCAGGCGAGAUUUUGGCUCAUGCACAGAAAGUCAAAUAUCCAUCGACCUCAGCUACCUGCAGCUCAGCAAGGAAGCCACUGAUGAUCAGCAAAAUUCCUAAACAGCAAAGGCAGCAGCACAAAAAUUAAGAUUCCAUCAGCCACGCACUCUCUCACUUUGUCACUCUUCUUUGGACCCCAUUCAAAAAAAAUAAUAAUAAGCAUUUUCAGUUCUCUUAGCUCUAAGGAACAGAUUGCAAUGUGACAAUGGAUUCUGGUGGGAAUGAUGAAGGAAAUAGAAAACUUUCAAAGGUGGACACAGGAAUUCAAAAUAUGUAUGUGAGCCAGACGUGGUAGCUCGUCUUGUAAUCCCAACACGUUGGGAGGCCAAGUGGGAGGAUUAGAGUUUGAGA